GAUGAUCGCUGGCGGCGUGCCUAAUACAUGCAAGUCGAGCGAACGGACGGGAAGCUUGCUUCUCUGAUGUUAGCGGCGGACGGGUGAGUAACACGUGGAUAACCUACCUAUAAGACUGGGAUAACUUCGUUAAACCGGAGCUAAUACCGGAUAAUAUUUUGAACCGCAUGGUUCAAAAGUGAAAGACGGUCUUGCUGUCACUUAUAGAUUGAUCCGCGCUGCAUUAGCUAGUUGGUAAGGUAACGGCUUACCAAGGCAACGAUGCAUAGCCGACCUGAGAGGGGGAUCGGCCACACUGGAACUGAGACGCGGUCCAGACUCCUACGGGAGGCAGCAGUAGGGAAUCUUCCGCAAUGGGCGAAAGCCUGACGGAGCAACGCCGCGUGAGUGAUGAAGGUCUUCGGAUCGUAAAACUCUGUUAUUAGGGAAGAACAUAUGUGUAAGUAACUGUGCACAUCUUGACGGUACCUAAUCAGAAAGCCACGGCUAACUACGUG
rnacentral:rRNA from 1 species